CACGUAGGAGGCGAGCGUUGUCCGGAAUCAUUGGGCGUAAAGAGCGCGCAGGCGGCUUGGCAAGUCGGGUGUGAAAUCCCGGGGCUCAACCCCGUGACUGCAUCCGAUACUGUCAGGCUAGAGGUAGGUAGGGGAGAUCGGAAUCCUGGUGUAGCGGUGAAAUGCGCAGAUAUCAGGAGGAACACCGGUGGCGAAGGCGGAUCUCUGGGCCUUACCUGACGCUCAGGCGCGAAAGCUAGGGGAGCGAACAGG
rnacentral:rRNA from 1 species